UACGUAGGGUGCAAGCGUGUCCGGAAUUAUUGGGCGUAAAGAGCUCGUAGGCGGUCUGUCGCGUCUGCUGUGAAAACCUAGGGCUUAACUCUGGGCGUGCAGUGGGUACGGGCAGGCUAGAGUGCGGUAGGGGAGACUGGAAUUCCUGGUGUAGCGGUGAAAUGCGCAGAUAUCAGGAGGAACACCGGUGGCGAAGGCGGGUCUCUGGGCCGUAAACUGACGCUGAGGAGCGGAAAGCAUGGGGGAGCGAACAGG
rnacentral:rRNA from 1 species